rnacentral:tRNA from 1 species
GGCCCGUUCGUCUAACGGUUAGGACGCCAGGUUUUCAUCCUGGAAAUAGGAGUUCGAUUCUCCUACGGGCUA